AAAAUUACAAUUAAUUUGCAAUACACGGCUGAACUGAACCAGUUGGGUAGGUUUGACUCUUUUUUUUUCUUAUACAUUAAUUUACCAGGGUCGAUACCUUCUUUCUGAUACAACUUGUCAUGAAAAUGACGAGGAAAUCACGAUACAAUAUCGAUUUAGUUUGGCAGUAAAAGACAUUCGACAUGGGUUCAAGUAGCCGAAAAAAAUUUUCUCAAUUUUAUGUCGUUUGUGUUUGAUGGCGAGUGGAGGAUCGUAAGAAAAAUUAAUGUUCAUUGUCAGUGUGCCUUCUUCAAAAGCACAUAUAUAUUGCUACAGUAGAAUGUUUAUUGGGGUGUGGCGGAACAGUACAAGAGGAAUGGGGUGGUUUGCAAAAGAAGAAGCAGCAUGGCGUGGAGUUGAAGGUCCUCUUCCCUCAAACCUCUUAAAAAACAUCAACCACCCCCUUAUGUACAAACGACACGAAUACAAGAAGUAUGUUGGGAUUUCUAUCUAACACACACAGUGUCUGAUUGAGCAACAUUUUGGGAUCUUCUUCAGUACACACCCCCACUGUGGUUACGAUGUGAGAUUCCCACAGAAUGAUGAUUGUAAAAGUACCCAUCAAUGUCUUGCUGUGCGCGCGUGAAAUAAUUUAACGAUUUCGGCCCUGAUUUGUUUCAUUUUAAGAGAAGUAUUGCAUUAUACAUA